AUGAAGUCAAAUCAAUUUCAAAUAUCCUACAGGAUAUUUGAAACAUUUCAAAACACAUCCAGAUGGACGAAAACCUGGGAUGUCUUGAUUGCAAUGAUUAGAUCCGAUGUUGAUGCAGGGUACAAGAAGGGCAGUAGUAACAAUACUCUUGUCUUUCUAUCAUUUGUGCAUGCCAAUUCUAUUUCUAUAUUUCACAUUUUAGGUCUAGGGCAUCUGCGUUUGAAACGCAGUGCAGACAAUACUACACCCCCAUCCACAUCCCAAGGUUCAGCCAGCACCCCAAAGAUUGUCUCGACAUCUAGUCCACUCCAAUUGAUUUUGACUUCAAUAAUUACCGGUUCACUGAAAUCCACCACCCAAGUCUCUGCUUCAACCACACAAGCUACAACCACAUCAAAUCCUGCAGGACUCUCUACAACAACUUCUAACCCUUCAGUGACUCUCAGUGCACCAACACAAAUUCCCCUCACAUCAACUACCACAUCAAACACUAUUACACCUGCUAAUCAGGCUGGUUCAGCUUUUAAUAACAUAAUUACUAUGUCAAACGCUAGUGGAUUAAACAUGUCACCUCCAACUCCAGCCUCACCUAUGUCUUACAUAACCACUCAAACUACCCAGAGCACAUCAACAUCUGCCCAGUCACUUUCAAGCAAUCACACUAGCCAUCCAAUCGGUACUUUUGAAACAACAGUCAAUCAUACGACAGAAAGCUCUUCCACUGCACCAAGUGUCGCGACUCAAGUAACCAAUCAGACAGCGGUUCUACGAACAAUGACGUCCAAUGUAUUAUUCACAGAGCCAUUUGCAGUACAGUGUAACUUUUCCCAGUCCUGCGUUAAUGAAUCUUCAUACUACUGGAUGCUUGUGGAGGUGAAAGGCUCUAAUAUGACGGAGGAAAAGAUUCAAAUUUGGUUUUCAGAUCUUUUUAAUGAAAGCAUCUGCUCUGCUAGAGUUUCAACAACAGGAAUCGAAACUACGUCAUGUCAUAUUUCUGAGAAUACUGAGGUUAGAUGUGAAGCCAAGCAGAACAUCCAAAGGACAAAUUGCACUGUGCUACUACAGCUGAGCCAACCUGUGAAUACAUGCAUCCUCCGAAGGCUGGUGCAAAACGGGACUAUAAACCCAUCUAUCCAAAUCCAGCUUCAGGGAGAUGUAGAAAGAGUGGGCAAAGGACUAUGCCCAGAGCACGAUAUUACGCCCCCUGGAGGGGGUUUUGUGCACUGCACAUCUCCAAUGUCUUAUGAUGACGUCUGCAAGACCCAGGGACCUGUCAAUGUCACAUGUGCAAAGGGGCAGAUAUUCGCUGUUAUUUUAAAUGAGAGCUGUGAAGUCUUGCCUUCUGAGUCCUACACAACUCAAGUUGUCCCUCCUAGAACAAGUUCUGAGAGCAGUGCUACAUUCCCCAACAUCACUUCUCCAUCAGUAACUAGAGAUUGGUCACUGACCAACCAAACCCACACUCCAGUCACACCAUCCACACCAUUAUUCACAAACACUUCUAGUACACAACUCAAUACAACAAGUCUAAUAUUCAAUACAUCCAUCAACAAUACAGACAAUCAAACAAACACUGUGUCAAAUUAUACAGCAAGUCUACCACUCAAUUCAACACGUGAUAUAGUACCACCGGUCAAUAUAGCAAGUACACCACACUAUAUAACAACCUCAGUGGUCAGUACAACACAUAAAACAUCCAGUGUAACACCUCAACUGAGCAAUACAGCCGUUACAACACACUAUACAACAACCUCACCAGUCAGUACAACAGGUACAUCAAACAAUAUACCAGCAUCAUUGGUCAGUACAACAAAUAUGACACACAAUAUAACAACCCCACCAGUCAGCGCAACCAGUACAACACACAAUAUAACAACUUCACCUGUUAAUACAACAGUUACAUCAAACAAUAUACCAGCAUCACUGGUCAGUACAACAACAACAACACACAAUAUAACAACCCUACCAGUCAGCACAAUGGGUACAACACACACUAUAACAACUUCACCGGUUAAUACAACAGUUACAUCAAACAAUAUACCAGCAUCAUUGGUCAGUACAACAAAUAUGAUACACAAUAUAACAACCCUACCAGUCACCACAACCGGUACAACACCCAAUAUAAAUACCUCACCUAUCAGUACAACAGGUACAUCAAACAAUAUACCAGAAUCACCGGUCAGUACAACAACUACAACACACGAUAUAAUAACCCCAACAGACGGCGCAACAAGUACAACAUACAAUGUAACUACCCCACCAGUCCAUUCAACAAAUACAGCACAUGAUAUAAUAACAACAACAGUCCCCCCAACAGUUGGUGCAACAGGUACAUCUUACAAUAUAACAACCUCACAAGUCAAAACAACACUCAAUAUAACAACCUCAGGGGUCAGUGCAACACAUACAACACUUGAUGUAUCAGCCCAGCCGGUGAAUACAGCAGGCAACAGGUACAUCUACAAUAUAACAACCUCACAAGUACAAAACAACACUACAAUAAUAACAACCUCAGGGGUCAGUGCAACACAUACAACACUUGAUGUAUCAGCCCAGCCGGUGAAUACAGCAGAUACAACAGAAAAAUAA
rnacentral:lncRNA from 1 species